GGAAAAAGAGAGGAAAAAGAAGGAAAAAGAGAGGAAGGAAAGGAAGGAGAAGAAGGAGAAGAAGGCUUGGAAGCUCUUCUUCAUCUCAUUCUUGGCUUAGGGCUUGCUUUGGAGCAAACCCUAGAGGCGAAGACGGUUCGUCGAUCCGACAAGUGGGUGCGAAGAUAUCGCCAUUUGUUGUGCUAAGGGGUUAAAGCUAACCCAACAAAAAUUAAGCGGCGACAAGACUAGCACGAGAACGCGUCUCGGAGUGUUUUCGGCAUCACCCAAGGUACACAGGACAGCGGGCCUUCGUCGAUGGAUCGCGGUAAGGGCAUAGCGCCCUAGCUUUGAUAGAUAGCUUCCUUCACCUACUUGCAUUAGCUCUAUACCCUGUACUUUUGGUUAUGCUUUGAGAGUAGAUGAUGUAUAGGGUGAGGUUUU